GAAAUGCGAUAAGUAGUGUGAAUUGCAGAAUUCAGUGAAUCAUCGAAUCUUUGAACGCACAUUGCGCCCUUUGGUAUUCCUUAGGGCAUGCCUGUUCGAGCGUCAUCUAAACCUUCAAGCCCUGCUUGGUGUUGGGUGCCUGUCCCGCCUCCGCGCGCGGACUCACCUCAAAUCCAUUGGCGGCCCCCGCGUCGGCCACGAGCGCAGCAGAAACGCGAACUCGUGAGCCCGUCCGGGCGGCUCCCAGAAGCUACACCCACCCAGUUUGACCUCGGAUCAGGUAGGACUACCCGCUGAACUUAAGC
rnacentral:misc_RNA from 1 species